CCCCUCACUGGCAACACGUCAGCUGGACGGACCGGCAUUACGUCACUUCCGGAAGUGAGGGACGUCUCGACCGGGAUCCGGGCGGCGUGGACUCCACGAGUGGGAGGAGUGCCUCCUGAAGUUAAGUAACCAUGGCGAUCUCCCCCUCACUGGCAACACGUCAGCUGGACGGACCGGCAUUACGUCACUUCCGGAAGUGAGGGACGUCUCGACCGGGAUCCGGGCGGCGUGGACUCCACGAGUGGGAGGAGUGCCUCCUGAAGUUAAGGUCCCGCCUGCGGGGGUGCCUCCCGAUGACAUCACCACAGCGCACCCAUCACCAAGAUUUUUAAAAAGAAUAUUUUUCUUCUUCACUCUGCUGAGGGGAAUGUACCCAUGAUUCAACAGUUUUACCCAGGAUACACUUCUGCAAAGCCACUCCAGUAUUGGACCAUUUUAACCCACUCUACCAUGGACAUCCUACUUGUGAUGUGGACCUGAACCACCGCCAUGUUAGAGUCACUCUUUCAGGUCUUCUGGAGUAUCCUUCCCGAUUUCCAGGAACCAGCCUGGAUUUGAAGGGACCGGACAGUUCCCCUGCUGUACCAUGGGCGACCUACUUGUGAUGUGGACCUGAACCUCCGCCUUGUUUCAGACACCUCCCCCCUCAGGUCUUGCGGAGUAUCCUUCCCAAGGUGCAGGAACCAGCAUGGAUGAAGGGACCGGACAGUUCCCCUGCUGUACCAUGGGCGACCUACUUGUGAUGUGGACCUGAACCUCCGCCAUGUAGCAGACAACCCCCCUCAGGUCUUGCGGAGUAUCCUUCCCAAAGUACAGGAACCAGCGUGGAUGUCAAAGGACAAGACAGUACCCCUGCUGUACCAUGGGUGACCUACCACAAUACCACUGCAUCUCUGAAAUGCCAUAUUUUACAUUUUAUCAACUAAUAAUUUAAAGAAAA